CUUUGUGUUUCUCUCUUCCUCUUUAGGACAGCAGUCACCCUGAGACGUUGAUCAACCUCAUCGUGCUGACUCAGCACCUGGGCAAAGCUCCCGAGGUAACUAACCGGUACCUCUCUCAGCUGAAGGAUGCCCACAGAGCCCAUCCAUUCCUGAAAGACUACUUAGCCAAGGAGAACGAGUUUGACAGACUAGUGAUGCAGUUCGCUCCCAGCGUUACAGCAUAAGACAUCUGCUUUUCACCGAGACCCCUCUCCACAGUAUAUCACCAUGAAGUUCCCUUUAUAACUUGUGUUUGUUUUUGAUAUUUUUACAUGUCAAAUUAAAACUGUAGCUGCAUAUUUAAACCACAACAGAAGUCAUAAUUCCCCCUGGCUGUAGAUGCAACAACUCUUCUUAUUCAUUUGAAUUUCUCUCAUUGAAAUCAACAUCUCUUUUAUUGUAAGCAUUCCAUUUAAAUCAUAAUAAAUGUUUAAUGACAUGCAUUGUA